AAGCACUGUUGUCUUUAUUUUUAGAAUGUAAGGAAAAACUGAGGGAGGCAAUGAAGCAACAAUAAAUGUCCCUUCUGCCUUGGGGAUGUAUUAGAACCUAUUUUUCCUUCAUGGCUGGGCUUUUUCUGGGGGACAGAAGCAGCAGAAAGUCUCUUUUACAAUGCCCUUUAAUAGCUGUGUCAAAAUUUUCCUGAAUUGUCUGCAAUUCUUCCUUAUUUGCAGCUGAGUUGGCUUUUACAUCGGACAUUUCAGGUCAAUGUGCAAUUUGCCACCAUCUUGUGGAUGGUAAACUCCUCUCAGCUUGGCAGCCCUCCUUUAAAAUAUCUUAAAUAGGUUUCUACUUUACUCAUCACAGAUAGCUUUUUUUUUUUUUCUAAAAUAUUUUGAAAAUGUGAGGUUCUGGCAAGAAGAGUGACUACCAAACAGAUUCAGUAGCACCCAGUGCCAAGUGAUCAGACAGAAAAAGAUGAAAACUACUGACCACACUGACCACUGCUUGGUGGCGUUGAAUGGGAUGCCCAGCAAGGGGUCUUGUUCCAGUAGCUGUGACUGCCGGCUUCUAGGCUGUCUCCUGCUCCAAGGGGAGAAAGAUCACACCAAGACAACUUCAGCAAGUAGGACUGCCCUCCUAUUUGCUCUAUGGGCAGUGGCAAAUAAAAACAGGUCUAAGGUUUCAUUUAUCUGGAUAAUUAAAUCAGCUUGGAAGAAUAUACUGCAAAAAUUUUCCUCUAGCCCACUCUUUUUUGGUUGGUAUUAUUUGGCUUUGCUCUCCUUACCUUGAAACUGCCCCAAUGCAAGCAAUAAUUUUUGCCAAGGGAGUAGAAAACUCUCUUCUGUCCUCUGGACUAGUGCGUGCUUUCUAGAGGUGGGACAGGGCGGUGUAGAGAUCCACCAAACUGGGUCUAAAUACCAGUUCUGCUGUUUGCCCAACUUUGGGGAGUGAGUCCAUGCUUUGGCACUCAGUUCUGCCAUCUAUCAGACAAGGAUGCUGGGAAGAGUACAAUGUAUACCUAUGGUCAAUGGGGCUCGCCAAGGCUGUAAAGUCGUAAUUCUGAUAUAUACUGGACACUAAGUGUAGGCACUGGUUAAGCUUCUUAUAUGUAUUUUCCCGCUUAAUUUCUUACCGUAUGAGGUCAGCUCUAUUAUUAAUCCUAGUUUGUGGGAGAAGAACCAGGAGCACAGAAAGGGUAAAGCAGCCAGGCAAGGAUGCUCCACGGUAGGAAAGGGCUGGCCAGGAUUCCCCCCGAGGCAGGACGCUUCACAGUGCAUUCUUCACGCCGCAAAGCUGCUCUUUCACAGGCAUGACCUACGUGACUCAGGCGCGUUCAGGGCACGUGGUCGCACCGGCACUUAAUUCCAGGGAGUGCUCUUGAGCUGUGUGCCGCAAAGUGCGUGGAGUCACCCAGGUUGGACAAGUGCCCACAGUGAGUCCUGCCUGUGGAGGUCCUGGGUUGGGGCCUUUGGGAGGAAGUGGAGCCCAGAGGCCAGAGUUGGACCCCUGCCUCCUGGCUGAGCCUGCUCUGCUCUGAGCUCUUCCUAGAAGCUGAAGAGGGAUCGUCUUUCUUUCCUCCCCGCUUAUUUUUGCUCAGUAUUUGUGCACCUCAUGCUCCCUUAAACCUCAUCAACCAAAGAAAUAAAGGGAUAUUCCUGAGGUUGCUAUUUUUAGGUCCUGUGGGUGGAGAGGCUUAAAUAAACAUGUCACUUGUAUUAGUUAACAGGUUUUCUUUGGCUCACCUCAGGUUUCAAGAUGCUCCCCAAAUACUGCUCUUUUGUUAAGUCUUUCUUCAUCUCCUUGCCCCAACUUUAGGAUUUCUUUCUUUCUUUCUCUCCCUUUCUUUCUUUCUCGCCCUUUCUUUCUCUCUCUCUCUUUCUCUCUUUUUUCCUCUUUCUUUCUUUCUUUCUUUUUCUUUCUUUCUUUCUUUCUUUCUUUCUUUCUUUUUCUUUCUUUUUUCUUUCUUUCCUUCUUCCUUCCUUCCUUUUACUUUCUUUCUUUCAUAAAUUUUAUUUGUGUAUACUUGACUUAGAAAGUUGUGUUAGUUUCAGGUGUACAGCAAAGUAAAUCAGUUAUACAUAUACGUGUAUCCAUUCCUUUUCAGAUUCUUUCCCCAUAUAGGUUAUUACACAGUAUUGAGUAGCUUACCCUGUGUUAUACAGUAGGUCCUUGUUACUUAUCUAUUUAUAUGUAGUAGUAUGUCAGUUCCCACCCCCAUAUUUAUCCCUCUAACCCCACAUUUCCCCUUUGGCAACCAUACAUUUGGUUUCAAAAUCUUUGAGUCUGUUUCUGUUUUAUAAGUUCUCUUGUGUCAUUUUUGUUAGAUUCUACCUAUUAGUGAUCUCACAUGAUAUUUGUCUUUCUCUGACUUACUUCAUUCAGUAUGAUAAUUUCUAUCUUCACCCAGAGGGUCCGUUCUUUUAUGACCUCUUCCAUACGCUGCUCUGGAUGAAGCACAUUGCAUACCCUUCUCUGCCAACCCAGAGAUGGUACUCUCCUCCAGGACAGGGCUCCCCACUUGCUUAUCAUGUUAGGUCCUGUAGCAUCUAGCGUGGUCUCUAACAAUAGAAGCUCAUGAAGAAAAAGAUAAAUGUAAACUAUCUCCCAAACCAAGUCAAAAUACAAACCACAGAUUGGGAGAAGAUCUUUGCAAUGUAUACAAGAAAGUGUUGUUAGGCCAAAUGUACAAAUAGUUUCUUCAAGUUAAAAAUAAAAGCAGCAAAAUUAUUUUUAAAAGAGGUCAAUGGCACACAUAGUUUACAGAAGAGGAAAUUCAAAGGAGCCACCAGCCAAUAACAUGUGAAAAAAUUCUAAUCCUUACUAGAAAGCAAGAACAUGUAAAUGAAAAGCACUGCCUCCAUUUAAAAAAAAAAAUAUAUAUAUAUAUAGGCAAAAAUUUCAAAAGAUGUACUUUCAGCCAAAAAAAAAAAAGGAGGGACUGGAGGCUUACGUACAACGGGUAGUGUGCAGGUAUGUCAGGGCAUUUGUAACCACUUAUUUCAUGUGUAAUUUUGCAGCAUGUGGUAGUUUGCUGGGGCCGCCAUAGCAGAGGACCACCAACUGGGUGACUUAAACAACAGAAAUUUAUUUUCUCACAAUUCUGGAGAUGAGAAGUCUAACAAAAAGAUGUUAACAGGAUCGGUUUCUUCUGAGAUCUCUCCUCCUGGCUUGUAGACAGCCAUCUCCUCUCUGCACGUAGCCUCCCCAUGUCCUAACCUCUUCUUAGAUGCCCAUCGGUCUUGUUGCCUUAGGGCUCACUCUAGGACCUCAUUUUAACUUAGAUAUCCCUUAAAAGUCUCUAUCUUCAAAUAGAGUCACAUUUUGAGACUGAUGGUUAGGAUUUCAAUGUAUGAAUUCAGGGGUAGGGAGGGAGCAUGAUUCAGUGUAUAACAUAUACAUAUAUAGUAUAUAUGGAUGGAUACACACAUAAACACUUGGUGGAUUAAUAUGUUUCUGAUAAACUCCCAAUUGUUGGCCAUGUUUACCUCUAGAGUUGGAAUGGGAUAGAAAGGGAGUUUUGCUUUUUUUUUACAAUUUUAAAAGACCUGGACUUAAUUCAUGAUUUUUUCCUUUUUGAGUUGUUUGGGAUUGUCAAAUAGUAAUAAUAAAAUAGUAGAAAUAUCACAUGUGGAAAGCAUGUCAUCAGAGACACAAAUUGACCAGAUGUCCUAGGUGCACCUGGAAACCGUGUUUCCAGCCAGCCUCCUUUGCAGGUAUAUUGAGGCUCUGUGGCUGAGUUUUGGCCAAAGGAUUGUGACUUGUUGAAUGCAGAGGAUCCAGUGAAGGAAUUCCAAAGCCACUUUUUAAGGUGUCAGAGGCACAGGGUGGGGGUUCUGAGGAACUGGGAUGGAAAGCUGUUCAGGAUGGCUGCCUGGACCCACGUCUGACUUUAAGUCACUGUGUUUUAAGCUUAUUCGUUCUAGCAACUGGCAUUCAUUACUCUGACAAAUGUAUCACCAAUAGUUUCUUUCUAUAAAGGAAAUUUUGUCCUUGCAAUGAAAAAUGUAAUAUAUAUCCUCUGAACCUGAAAUUACUUCCAGGAAAGGAAGUUUUACAAUUAAAAAAUCAUAAGCAUACUGGAGUUUCCUUGUGGUGCAGCGGGUUAAUUAUCUGGCAUUGUCACUGCAGCAGCCCAGGUUGCUGCUGUGGAGCAGGUUUGAUAUCUGACCUGGGAACUUUCACUGCUGCAGGUGCAGCCAAGAAAAAAAAAACAACACAAAAAACAAAAACCAUAAGCAUACAAAAAAUGUGCUUAUAGUAAAGACAUGCUUGCAACAGAGAAAAAAGUCAAUAUAUUUUUAUCCACUGGGAAGUGGUUAAAUAAAUUGCAGUGCUUUGAUUUAUUAACCUCUAUACAGACCUUAAAAGGAAUGAUCUAGCUAUACUACUAGCCUAGAAAGAUUCUUAUCACAUAGAAUUAUUUAUAUAACAGACUUGGAGAUAAAUACAGCAUGAUUUGUUUUUAUUAACAUUACACUUAAAGACAUGGUAAACUUGGGAGUUCCCAUUGCAGUGCACUGGAAAUGAAACCUAUUAGUAUCUAUGAGGAUGCAGGUUCAAUACCUGGCCUCACUCAAUGGGUUAAGGGUCCUGCAUUGCUGUGAGCUGUGGUGUAGGUUGCAGAUGCGGCUUGGAUCCUGUGUUGCUGUGGCUGUGGCGUAAGCCAGCAGGUGUAGCUCCAAUUUGACAUCUAGUCUAGGAACUUCCAUAUGCCGUGAGUG
rnacentral:lncRNA from 1 species